rnacentral:lncRNA from 1 species
CGCUGGCGGAUGACAGCACCGAGAGGGUCGCGAGGAGCUGCGGUGCGGCCCGGGGGGACAGCCCCGGUCCUGUCCCACCGCCCCGAGCCUUCCCCGGGGCUUCUCACGGUGCUGCUGCCCACGGCCCGGACAGCAGCAGGGGGGGUGCGGCACGGCGCGGCCGCUGAGGGCUUUGUCAUCGCUUACAGUCUCUGCAUUUUGAAUCAAGUAUAGUGAUGGAGGAAGGUGUUGCCUCUGUGUUUGUUUUCAAGUGAAAGAAGGUUGGCAGCAGCAUUUGGAACACAUGGCAUAAGUCUGGGAACUGGGCCUUACAGCCAUCGUAAAGAAGUGAGCUUCAGCUUCCAAGAAGAGAAGAAAGCAGAGAGAUAUAAUUGGGCAUUUCAAUCUCAUCUGACCAAAGCCUUCAUGUGGAAGAGGAAUCUGCCUGUCAAAGAAAUUGGAGAGCUUCUCUGGAUCCCAUUUCCAUCCAAUCAAAGAUGCUUUGUAUUCACCAUCGUUAAUCGUACGAUUUGCAUUUGUGUAGAAAGUAAUAGAGGAAAUAUCCCAAGUUCAUUACCAAAAGGUAAUGAAGAGCAUCCCCAAAAAUUUGUGUGAUCUGGAUUGGAAUUCUGAAGCAGUUGAUACAAUCAGGGAAAAACAGAAGGAUUUGGCAGGAAAGAACAAGGAGAAUGGGGUUUAUGGAAGAAGAAGUUUGAAGUCUUCCAACUUCACUCAAGAAGUGUUAGUUCACUCAGUUAGGAAACUGGCACACUGACUGGCCAUCCAGGAUGGGACAGAUCUUGUCAGUAUCAGAGGAGUAAUAUUUUCACAAGGAUGAACUGCCACUGAAUGAUACAGAAACACUUUUAUCUUCAAUAUCAUGCAGGUAUUUUGGGAAGAUAAGUCCCUGUAUUAUUAAUUAUGACAUUUAAAAAUGAUUCUGUUCCUUGGGAACAAGAAGACAAAUAUUUAUCUCCAUGGUUAUGUUUUGCAGAGCACUCUAAAAGCAUCAAAAAAGUGCAAGAUCUUGUUCCUGGCAUAUAUUUCCUUUGGGCUAAUCUUUCAAGACUCCAAAAGGUGUUGAGAUACGGUUGAUGUUAUGCAACCUUCAACACUAAAGCAGAUGUACAUCGUUCCUCCUUUGAGAAGUCUUAUUUUGAUCUCUGGAGACCCAUAUAGUGGUCCUCGCUAAAUCAUUUUGAGCAGAAGGGGAAUGUGCCCAGAGCAUUAUAGAAGCAGCAAUCUGUAGAUGGAAGUUAUAUGUGGAGUUUGAUGAAGCUGGCACUUUUCCUCCUGUAUGUUAAAUAAACAAGAAGUUACUGUGUAGUGUGUGAUGAUGCAGGCUGAUACUCUGCUGCUGAAUAAAACAAUGACAUGCUAAGACUCAGACUAUUUCCUUGUAUAGUCCUCAAAAAAUAGGAUUUUUUGUUUCUGAUACAUCUGAAAAUUCACAGGCAAAUAUGCAACUAAUCAAACCUCGCAGAGAUGCUAACACCCAGAUGUGUGUGUUUCUGUGUGGAAGCAAUCUAUGGCUAAUAGUAACAGAACUCUUGGAUAGAGAAAUCCUGUAAAAAUACAGAUUAGGCAUACAUAAGUUAAAUAUGUCUAACUAGUGUGCCAAGAAUUUAUAGUUUUAUGAAAUCUGUAUUAUGUAAAGAUCUUUCAAUAUUUCCUUCUAAAAAGUUUUCAUUAAUAUACAAAAAGGAGGAUAUGGAUUUCCAUAAUAAGCAGAAGAACCUUCCCAUUUCAUGUACAAUAAAUGAAAAUAACCACAUGACCUUGAUUCCUUGGCUUCCCUCUCUCUCCAGAUCUCCAUUAGAAGUUAGUACUUGAGUAAUCCAAUCUUUUAAUAAUAAGCUAUAAAAUAAAACCGUGCAAUUUAGCAAUAAUAAUGAAUGGUAAGUUUGCAUGUUGGCUGGAACUUCUGAGUGAGACUGUCCAACAUUCACUGUGCUAAAAGUCUAACAGUACUGAGUUUGACCAUUGGGAUUGACACCCUAGAUUCGCAACAGAGAUGGGAAGGAGUGCAAAUGCAGAUCUGAAUUUUGUAUUUUAAAUAUGGAAGUAUCUAUAUCUGAGGAGAGCCUUGUCUUGUUCAUCUUGAUACACUUCAGUAAAUUAUGAGGAGCUACUUUAAAAUGAAGAAAAGACAGAGGAGGUAAAAAUCAGAGAAAAUUCAGAGCUGAAAUCGAGAGUUAAUACUUGCAGGAAUUCAAGCCAGUAUUCCUUACAAAACUUCCCUUUGACUUCUCAUCCAGGGGAAAGAAAAGGAAAAAUUUAUCUGUGUGUACCUCUAUAUCUUGUAAUAUAUCUUAUAAUAAUCCAAGUUCACUUCAUGGACAUGGAUUUUGACUCUGGCUCAUAGUGGUGACAUCAUGUCUCAUCACUAGUAAUGAUGUGAUCCAGGAAACUGGAUGAAGUAAACUGCUACCUUCAGCCUUGUAUUGGUUCAAUAGGUCUUACAUAUCAAUAGGUCUUACAUAUCAAACUUACAUACGAUGCUCUUUCUGUUCCUGUGUGAGCAUUUGCAGGACUCACUUGUCGCAAACUUCAUUAUAUUCCAACGUUACCAUCAUCAUUUUCAAUGCACUGAAGCUGAUAUUCAACCCUGUACACAGUUCUCUGGUUGUAAUUCACCAAUUUGUGUGGAUGAGCUGAUUGAGACACUCUUCAUUUUGUGGUGUGACAGCUGUGCAUGUCUGUCUGGAAUGUGGUUUGUCUUUCAUGUCUCUGUUGCCACUGCUGAAAUGCACCAUCCGCCUCCUCACUGCGCUCACAUCCACUGUUUGGUCUCCAUAAACUUUCAGCAUGUGUCAAUGAAUGUCAAAGGGGACCAUUUUUUCCACAUGGAGGAAUUCAGUGACACACCUUUGCUUUGUACGCACUUCCAUGUCAGAGGCCAUUUCGUCAGACUGCCCCUCUGUUGCCAUCUGUCACACAGCAACGAAAUGUAAUGGAAUAUUGGUGGGAAAUUUCAAGCUCUACUAACACGCUACCAGCAUCCACCUCUGAAGUUGUGGGCCAACACCACAAAAUAGGAGGCAUUAAUUUCAGAGCAGCAAGCUUGGUAGAAAGGUGAAUAAAUACAGAUUAGAUUUUCUGUAAUACCUUCACUGAAGGCUCAGAUGAGUUUGAGUCAUAGAUCAAAGCAACAUGAUCAUCUGAAGUGGUCUCUUAUUUGAGAAAGGCCAAACCUUGCACACAAAAUUCCUUUUUGCUUGCUUCCCUCCAACGCUGUAUAUUUAUCAUGGAUAGAUUAUCACUGAGUGAUCACGUUACUUUCUGGUAUCUUAUGACUGUGGUUCAACUUCAGAAACAAAAAAGAGCAAAGGAAAGCUGCCAAAUCCAUUUGCUUUAUGUGACUCCCCACUUCAGACACACAAGGAAAGGCCUUACCUUUUUAACCUGUGCAGCUGAUGCUUGGAUUUUCUUUUCAUAUAUAUGCUCCAAAAGUAAACCAUGGACUUGAGAGGAAACGAGCUUAAUAUGCCAUGUGCUUCCUAUUUGUUGAAGGUAUCAGGGCUAGAGCUCCCUUGGCAUGCUAAAACAUGAACGUUUUUACAGCGUAGCAGAUUAUGGAAGCUGCUCUUGAUAAAUUCCAGUAACAGCAUUUUACAUUCCUCAUGCACCUUUCUGUGAAUGACAGAUUGCCACAUUAAGUCUCUAAAGAAGUGCUUGACAAGGGUGGUUCAGCAAAAGAAGAAAAUGGACCAUGUGUCUGACUCGGUAACUCUACAUUUCUUAACACAUUUACACGGGACUGCAGUGUUGUUCUCUCCUGUGUGCCAGAGCAUGAGAAAACUUCAGCGUGAGACACUCCUUCACACCACCAGGUCCUCUGCUGAAAUGCACAUGAAAACAAACAUAUGGAUGUGUUUACCUCUCAUAAAAGUAUAGGAAAAAGAAUAAUUUCACUGGAAUUUUUUCUUCUUGGCUGGGAGGUAGAGGAAAAGGGACCAUGGCAGAUACACAAGCUGUAGAAGAUGUGCUUGUUGGGAAGAAGGUUGUAGAGAUUAAACAGCCAGCCCAGUAAGUACUAGAAGCCUUUAUGCUGCAAGUAGAGCAACCAGGCUAAUAUACUGUUUCAUGCUGUAUUCUGAAGGUGCUUUUUGGAAGAAGUCAGUUCAAAAUGUUGCCCAGUAUGACUCUGCCUGGCACAGAAAUCACUGCUGGUUCUAUCCAUUCAGUGGAACUGAGGGGAACAAAGUUUGAAGACAUAAGUAUAUGAUUGUAUGUGAUUGUCUACAUACUUAAAAUGUGUAGAAUUAGCUGUUAAGUGCACUCUAAAUAUGGCACAUAAAUUCACCUAUAAAUACUAGAAGCACUGUGCCUGAUUUAGAAACAUUAACUGAAGAAUUUCUCAAAUGCAAAUUUUAAUUUCUUUCAGAUCUGUUUUGUGGUUUCUUCUCCAGCAUUCAAGGUGGAUGCAUGAGAUUCCAUUUCCAGUUUUAACUUAAUGGCUUCCCUUAAGAAAGAGGAGGAAAAAAAGUUAUAUGAAUUAAACAUUACAUAUGAUGUGGCAAAGCACUUUCAGGAAUUCAAUAAGGAAGAGCAGAAAAAACUGUUGCUCAGAGUUAGUAGCAGCAGUGAAUAGCGCUGUUACCAUCUAAAAGCUCACACUUUUCAGUCAGACUUGGCUGGUGAAAUGUAGAAGCUUAAUGUGGAUUACACUUUUUAAAUCUUUCAACGUUAGAAAAAUAGAAGAGAUGUAGUGCGUUUUCAUUUCAGCGUACUUUGAAUGCAAUCUCAAGAUAAAUGUGAGAGACGGAUUGUGUUUGUACCCGUGCCAAACAUUGUCGUUAGAUAUUGCUGUUUUGUUUCAUCAGCCAGAUGAAUUUACACAGGGACAUCGAUCAGGUACCUACAUUUAAAAGAGCGCACUGUCAAAUUAGUGGAUAGAAAGAGCACAUUAGGAGAGAGAAAUUAUCUGGUGAAAGAUUUAAAGACUGACUCACUUAUGUUUUGUUUCAUUAAAUGUGGGGUAGUCCCCGUUCAUUUUCCAUUUAGCAUGAACAUUCAUAGACUCCAUUAAAAUACCAUUUUUGUAACGAACUAGCUGACUUGGGACAUACAUGAUCCUCAUUGGAAAAAACACAGCUCCCCUUCUGACAGGUUCUAGAUCACUCCAAAAUCUGGGGCCCAAGACGGGCAACCCUACUGGCUGUCUUGAGGAGACACCUGCGUCCUCCUGUAAAAUAUAUGUGUAUAGGGCAUAUAUUUUAUGGCCUGCAGGGGCUGGUGGUCUCCAUAGGGAUGGGGAGAGGUUGGGAUGGGAUGUGGUUGUAUGCACUCCACAAAAGGUCUCAGAAUAUGUUCUCAAGAGGCAAACACACACAAGCACAAAACAAACAAACAAAAAGACAAGCAACAAAAUAAAUCAAGCAAAUUGAAACCAAAUACAUCCAUGACUAGCCUAUGCCAUAAAUCCCUCUUUUGUGCUACUUUCCAGUCAGCUCCAUUACACAAUGGAUUUAAUUCCACAAUGAUUUAAUUACACAAUGAUUUAAUUCAAACAUUUUAUGGCAGAGAUGUAUUUUAGCUAAAAUGAUAUUUUUACUCAGUGUGGGGCGGCAGGGGGUUGGAUAAAAUGGACUACUUUACCAAUGAAAUGAAGAGCUACAGAAUGGUAAGAGACAGAUACAGGGAGUGUAGGUGUGGUACCAAAUCCCUACCUCACUGUUUCAAUACCUGCGCUUAGUGCCUGGAUUGCCUUACAUUCAGCUCUGUAACAGCCCCACAACAUAUCAGAGCUUCCUGCGAAGGUUUUCACUCUUCAUAUCCAAUAAGACAUUUAGAUUAAUGCAUGCAAAAUGUUGCCCUAGGAUUUGAUAGUGAAAAGAGCCAAAACCCAAAUCUUCUUUUUUUCCCCAGAAAUAGUCAUCCAUCAUUAAAAUUAUUAGAGAGCAAAUGGCUGAAAUGUAUCAUUACAAAAUAGAAGUAUUUCCUUUGAUUGUUUAAAAAUCUCUUAUUUAAUUUGAUUCAUACAUAUUUUUUUCCCUUUUACAGUUUAGAACACUGCAUCUUACCAUAUGUGAAAUGUUUCUUUGAGGUGUCAAAGUGACUUGUCAUGGGUUUGGAAUGAGAACUAAAUUAAAUGUCCAUACUUUAACAUACUUAUAUAAAUAACGAGAUAUUCCAGUAUAAACCAUUCAUUUGGCAGUCAUUUCUACAUCAGCAACUACAAAGUGCUAUAGAUUUCCUGCCUAACUUGACACAUGCAAAGAAAAUCAGGAAGGAAAAUGUGUGUGUACGCAUAUAUUUUAUAGAAAAAGACAGCCUCUUGUAUUCUAUUGUCAUUAAAGUAUUUCUAGCUUUUCUGGAAAUAGUGCAAGAGGUUUAACAAAAUGCUCUGCAUUCACAGCAGAAUGCUGGAGCAUUAAGUUGCUUCCAACUGCACUCCAAAACUUGUUUCCAUAAUUUAGAAACAGAGAGGGUAGAAAUGGAUAACAAAGUCAUUAAUGAGCUCCAAGAAUGAUUUAUUAUGGGUGAUAUAGCGUCUUUGCUUUUAAGAAAAAUACAUUAAAUAAAAAUUCUUCAUAAAAUAAAAAUUCUUUCCUAUUGAACAUUGUGCAGAAUUUGCUUUAUUAGUGUAUUAUAUCACCACAUUGCCUGGUCUGGCAUUUCUCAUACAAAUAAUGUUUCAAGGUGCUAGCAAAGCUUGUGAACUACAGUGCAAACCAUGUUAGGAAUACUGUUUGUACAGAAACACAACAGUAGCAAAGAUCCUUCUGCAGGGGUUCUGGAGAUAGUUAACACUGGAGGAUCCUUUCAUCUUGCAUCUGCUGCACAAACUUGCAUCACACUCGGCUAACAAUAAUAAAAAAUGAUAACUGAUAUUUAGUUCCAGUCUUUCCAUCUGCCUGACUUCUUUAUGCCAGUUUUUAGGUUGCCAGUCUUUCUCAUGCACACGUCUAUGCACACAUACUCUGAAAGCAUCGGUGGUCAAUGAACAGUGUCGUCUAGGUGGAAACAUCAUAUAGCUAUAAAACAACAUCCAGAUUUGCUG